UCUACGGGUGGCUGCAGUGAGGAAUAUUGGUCAAUGGGCGAGAGCCUGAACCAGCCAAGUCGCGUGAAGGAUGACGGCCCUACGGGUCGUAAACUUCUUUUGUCAGGGAGCAAAUGAGUCCACGUGGGGUCUUAGCGAGAGUACCUGUAGAAAAAGCAUCGGCUAAACCUGUGCCAGCAGCUGCGGUAAUACGGAGGAGGAGAGUGUUAUCCGGAUGUGGUGGGGUUAAAGGGAGCGUAUGCGGAAUAUCAAGUCAGCGGUAAAAAUUCGGGGAUCAACCCCGUCGUGCCGUUGAAACUGAUAUUCUUGAGUGGUCGAGAAGUAUGCGGAAUGCGUGGUGUAGCGGUGAAAUGCAUAGAUAUC
rnacentral:rRNA from 1 species